UUAAAAAGAAAAAAAAAAAUCAGGAAACUUCCUGAAAACGAGAUUCCUGUCCACUCUCCUUCCAUUUCAGAAAAAUUUUGCCCCAAAACUUUCAAAAUCUCCCAACCCAAACCCUCAGCCCACCGCCGCCCACGCAUCGCAGCAACCUCCAAGCACCAGUGACCACGCCGACUCAACCUCCGGCGACCUCAGAUUUGGUUUUCACCCAAAAAUCCUUCUCGUCAUCUCCAUCUUCCCUUUCCCCCGCCCAACACUGCCCAACGCUGGCCACAAAUAGCACGGAACACUGUCACCCACGACCAUGCCAACCACCCCGAGUAGGCCGCCGUUCCCGAAUCUCUCUACGGUCAGUCUCUCUCGCCGGAUCUCUCUCUCUCUCUCUCCAUAGCCGGAUGCCUCUCUCGCCGGAUCUCUCUAUCUCCACAGCCGGAUCUCUAUCUCUCCAUAGCCGGAUCUCUCUCUCCAGAGCCGGACUAGUUUCUGGAGAUGCAGCAGUCACCACAACUGUUGAAUGGUGCUCUCACUGCUAAUAUCACAAUUGAGCAAAGUCAAAAGUACCUGGACGAGAAUAAAGAGUUGAUUCUGGCAAUAAUGGAAAUCCAAAACCUGGGAAAAUUCAUUGAACGUGCGCAAGUGAUAAACUAACUAGAAUGUUUUUCUUUUAUUUGUUUACAAAAUUUCACUUAAUGGUGAUAUUAAUGCUGGAAUACGUUGAACGAUAUUCUCUUAUGAUGUGUCAUUCUUGUUGGGCUGUUGGAAUACAAGCUAUUGGUUAUUGUUUCUAGUAUAUCAAGGGAUCUCAAAACUAUAUGUUGGUUGUUAUUUACGCAGAGAAUGUAAUUUGAGAACUACAUGAUUGGUGGGAUAGAGUGGAUGUAAUUAUGGAUGAAUGACCAAAUGCACAAAAUGCAAUUUUUUUUUGGUAUAGGUGCAGGUUUGUAUAGUUACACCUGAUCUGUUCUAUUUUGUAAUAGUAGCCUGCUAGCUUGUGUUAAGGUAGGACGUUUUUUGUUUAGUGUAUGCUUCUUUAUGCAGCGGAAGGCCCAGUUGUUUCAAACUUGAGUGCUUUAUAGCAAAGGUUUGUAGAAAGUUUGUGUUUCCAACUUAUAAUAAAAUUUGAUUUGUGGAAA